rnacentral:rRNA from 1 species
UAUUGCACAAUGGACGCAAGUCUGAUGCAGCAACGCCGCGUGCGGGAUGACGGCCUUCGGGUUGUAAACCGCUUUCAGCAGGGACGAAGCGAGAGUGACGGUACCUGCAGAAGAAGCACCGGCUAACUACGUGCCAGCAGCCGCGGUGAUACGUAGGGUGCGAGCGUUGUCCGGAUUUAUUGGGCGUAAAGAGCUUGUAGGCGGUUUGUUGCGUCGGUAGUGAAAACUCAGGGCUUAACCCUGAGCCUGCUUCCGAUACGGGCAGACUUGAGGAAGGUAGGGGAGAAUGGAAUUCCUGGUGAAGCGGUGGAAUGCGUAGAUAUCAGGAGGAACACCAGUGGCGAAGGCGGUUCUCUGGACCUUUCCUGACGCUGAGAAGCGAAAGCGUGGGGAGCAAACAGG